AGCUGUCAAAGGAUUAAAACGCAAAGCUUCAAAGAGCCCCAGUGAAAAAUGGAAGACUGAGCAUCUUACUGCAGUGGAUUCAAGCAGCAGUGAUGACUUUGAAACCUCUGUGAUCCCAAAGCCACCACUGAUUAGGCAUGUGUUUACUGACUCAGAAUCUGAUGAUGACCUCUUUCUGAGGAAAAAGAAACCUAAAAUUU